rnacentral:misc_RNA from 1 species
GGGAAAUGUCAUCAAUGUUCCUUGUAACAAAUUUGCGGAACUGAAUAUGUUUCUUGACCCUUUUGCUGCAAAAACAGUUUUGAGUUCUGAACAUAAUAUCACUCUCAUUCCACUUGGAAUGCAGCGGAAAGUCAGUGCAUUCCCUCAAAUUCUUGAAAAGCUUUACUUGAUAAGUACACCAGAAGCAGUCUUUGCCAGGCGCUUGAUGUCAAGGUUGUAUCGCCUGCAAAAGCUCCAUCCUGCAUACCGACAUGUGGAUAUGUUUAUUGGUGAGAUCCUUGGAGUAGUAGUAGCUGGAGAUCUG